rnacentral:rRNA from 1 species
GACCAGACUCCUACGGGAGGCAGCAGUGGGGAAUAUUGCACAAUGGGGGAAACCCUGAUGCAGCGACGCCGCGUGGGCGACGAAGCGCUCCGGCGCGUAAAGCCCUGUCAGCAGGGAAGAACAAAGACAGUACCUGACCAAGAAGCCCCGGCUAACUCCGUGCCAGCAGCCGCGGUAAUACGGAGGAUGCGAGCGUUAUCCGGAUUUAUUGGGUUUAAAGGGUGCGCAGGCGGCACGGCAAGCCGGCGGUCAAAUCGCGGGGCUCAACCCCGCCCAGCCGUCGGAACUGCCGGGCUAGAGUGGGCGAGAAGUGCGCGGAAUGCGUGGUGUAGCGGUGAAAUGCAUAGAUAUCACGCAGAACUCCGAUUGCGAAGGCAGCGCACCGGCGCCCUACUGACGCUCAGGCACGAAAGCGUGGGUAUCGAACAGGAUUAGAUACCCCAGUACAG